rnacentral:rRNA from 1 species
AGAUUGAACGCUGGCGGCAUGCCUUACACAUGCAAGUCGAACGCGAAAGGGGGGGCAACCCCCGAGUAGAGUGGCGAACGGGUGAGUAAUACAUCGGAACGUAUCCAGUAGCGGGGGAUAACCUCUCGAAAGAGAGGCUAAUACCGCAUACGACCUACGGGUAGAAAGAGGGGGAUCGCAAGACCUCUCACUAUUGGAGCGGCCGAUGUCGGAUUAGCUAGUUGGCGGGUAACGCCCACAAGGCUACGAUCCGAGCUGGUCUGAGAGGACGACCAGCCACACUGGAACUGAGACACGGUCCAGACCUCCGUACGGGAGCGAGCGAGGUGGGGUAAUUUGGACAAGUGGGACACGAAGCCUAGACUACCAGCCCAGUUCGCCGG